UGGCGGACGGGUGAGUAAUGUCUGGGAAACUGCCCGAUGGAGGGGGAUAACUACUGGAAACGGUAGCUAAUACCGCAUAACGUCGCAAGACCAAAGAGGGGGACCUUCGGGCCUCUUGCCAUCGGAUGUGCCCAGAUGGGAUUAGCUAGUAGGUGGGGUAACGGCUCACCUAGGCGACGAUCCCUAGCUGGUCUGAGAGGAUGACCAGCCACACUGGGACUGGGACACGGCCCAG
rnacentral:rRNA from 1 species